rnacentral:rRNA from 1 species
GACGAACGCUGGCGGCGUGCCUAAUACAUGCAAGUCGAGCGAAUCAAUAGGAGCUUGCUCCUGUUGGUUAGCGGCGGACGGGCGAGUAACACGUGGGCAACCUGCCUGUAAGACUGGGAUAACAACGGGAAACCGGUGCUAAUACCGGAUAAUCCUUUUCCUCUCAUGAGGAAAAGCUGAAAGUCGGUUUCGGCUGACACUUACAGAUGGGCCCGCGGCGCAUUUGCUAGUUGGUGAGGUAACGGCACACCAAGGCGACGAUGCGUAGCCGACCUGCGAGGGUGAGCGGCCACACUGGGACUGGGCCACGGCCCAGACUCCUACGGAAGGCAGCAGUAGGGAAUCUUCCACAAUGGGCGAAAGUCUGAUGGAGCAACGCCGCGUGAGCGAUGAAGGCCUUCGGGUCGUAAAGCUCUGUUGUUAGGGAAGAACGAGUAUCGGAGUAACUGCCGGUACCUUGACGGUACCUAACCAGAAAGCCACGGCUAACUACGUGCCAGCAGCCGCGGUAACAC